ACAGAUGAGGCCGUGUGGGAGAAAGGGAGUGGAAAGUUUACGGCAAAUUUUACAUCAGUUUCUACAGCAGAAAUAGUCAAAUGUUGACCCAUGGAAAUCUUGCAGUUCUGGGCUUCAUAGCUGCUGCAGGAGUGGCGAUACAGUGCACAACAGAGAACAUGAAAUUCCAGGCUCGAGUCCCAGAGUCGUUCUUGAAAAGGUAGUGGGAGAGACAGAAGGAACAGAUUUAAAGGAACAGGUUGACUACUCUGAGCACAUUUGGUCCAAAGAACCGAAAGAGCCUUUGGUGUAACUCCCGACAUUGACAUCUUGACAGAGCUUACUGCAG